CCUUCGAUAGCUCAGUUGGUAGAGCGGUGGACUGUAGCAAACGUGCAAGACAGGUCGAUCAUCAGGUACAAUUGCAUUCCCAAAUAAUGCAUCACAGAUGAUUGAGCUGCCUGAAGCAAUAGAGAAAUCCAUAGGUCACUGGUUCAACUCCGGUUCGAAGGA
rnacentral:tRNA from 1 species